GUAGGUGGCAAGCGUUGUCCGGAAUUAUUGGGCGUAAAGCGCGCGCAGGUGGUUCUUUAAGUCUGAUGUGAAAGCCCCCCCGGGCUCAACCGGGGGAGGGGUCAUUGGAAACUGGGGAACUUGAGUGCAGGAGAGGAAAGUGGAAUUCCACGUGUAGCGGUGAAAUGCGUAGAUAUGUGGAGGAACACCAGUGGCGAAGGCGACUUUCUGGCCUGUAGCUGACACUGAGGCGCGAAAGCGUGGGGAGCAAACAGGAUUAGAUACCCUGGUAGUCCACGCCGUAAACGAUGAGUGCUAAGUGUUGGGGGGUUUCCGCCCCUCAGUGCUGCAGCUAACGCAUUAAGCACUCCGCCUGGGGAGUACGGUCGCAAAGACUGA
rnacentral:rRNA from 1 species